GAUGAACGCUGGCGGCGUGCCUAAUACAUGCAAGUCGAGCGAACAGACGAAGAGCUUGCGCCGCUGACGUUAGCGGCGGACGGGUGAGUAACACGUGGACAGCCUACCUAUAAGACUUAGAUAACUUCGAGAAACCGGAGUAAAUACUGGAAAAUAUAGUGAACCGCAUGGUUCAAUAGUAAAAGUCGGUUUUGCGGUUACAUAUAGAUGGAAUCGCGUCGCAGUAGCUAGUUGGUAAGGUAACGGCGUAGCAAGGUAACGAUGCGUAGCCGAUCGGAGAGACGGAUCGCCCACCCGGGAGGUGAGACGCGCUCCAGACUCCUACGGGAGGCAGCAGAAGGCAAUCUGCGGCAACAGGCGAAAGCCUUACGGAGUAACGCCGAGCGAGUGAUGAAGGUCUUCGGUUCGUAAAACUCUGUUAUUAGGUAAGAACAAAUGUGUAAGUAACAGUGCCCGUCUUGACGGUACCUAAUCAAAAAGCCCCGGCUAACUACGUG
rnacentral:rRNA from 1 species